UACGUAGGGGGCAAGCGUUGUCCGGACUUACUGGGCGUAAAGCGCGCGCAGGCGGAUGGGGUAUGUGCCGUGUGAAAAGCGCCCGUCCUUUACGAUGGCGAGGUCAUGGUAGACAGCCCCGUCUAGAGGCUCGAAAGAGGUCGGUGGGAAUUCCGGGGUGGAGCGGUGAAAUGCGUAGAUAUCCGGAGGAACACCAGGGGGCGAAAAGCGGCCGACUGGUCGAGUACUGACGCUGAGGCGCGACGGCGUGGGGGAGCAAACCGG
rnacentral:rRNA from 1 species